GACGAACGCUGGCGGCGUGCUUAACACAUGCAAGUCGAGCGAUGAAGUUUCUUCGGAAAUGGAUUAGCGGCGAACGGGUGAGGAACACGUGAAGAAUCUGCCCUCCACUUUGAGAUAACACAGGGAAACCUGUGCUAAUACCGAAUAUUGAAACAUAAGUGGCAUCACUGAGUUUUGAAAGAAUUUCGGUGGAGGAUGACUUCGCGGCCUAUCAGCUAGUUGGUGAGGUAAUGGCUCACCAAGGCAACGACGGGUGGCCGACCUGAGAGGGUGACCGGCCACACUGGGACUGAGACACGGCCCAGACUCCUACGGGAGGCAGCAGUGGGGAAUAUUGCACAAUGGGCGCAAGCCUGAUGCAGCAACGCCGCGUGAGGGAUGACGGCCGUCGGGUUGUAAACCUCUUUUAGCAGGGAAGAAGCGAAAGUGACGGUACCUGCAGAAAAAGCACCGGCUAACUACGUGCCAGCCGCCGCAGUAA
rnacentral:rRNA from 1 species